rnacentral:rRNA from 1 species
AUGGUGUACGACGUGCCUGAGGAUGCCGAGCGAGGCCUGGAUGACGCCGGCGAAGAAGGUCGCCGUGAAGGCCAGGUGGAGGUAGAGCGCCGGGUUCUCCGUGGCCGACACCUCGGCGCCCAGCAUGGAGGCGAUGAGCAGCGACGCCACCGCCACCGUCCCCACCGCCAGGUCCUUGGAGCUCCCCAUCAUCGCGUACACCAGCGGCGGCACGAAGCUCGAGUCUGCAGUCCGUCACAUACUCAUACAGUGAGCCACAGAGGCACGAAGGCUCAUACAGUCGGCAAUGGCAACAUAUAUAUGGCCAUGUGUGACGCGCUUACAGAGGCCGAGGAUGGGCGGCAGGUUGGCGAGCUUGGCGUAGCUGAUGCCCUGCGGGAUGGCGAGGCUGGCAAUGGUGAUGCCGGCGAUGAGGUCCGACUUGAAGGUGCCGAGCCUGUAUGCCGGCGCCCACUCGAGGAACGGGAAGAAGUAGCGGAGCGCGGCCGCCGCGCGCCGGCCGAAGCCCCGCUCCCGCACCACCGCGCGGAACGGGUCGUCCGGGAAGAAGGUCUCCUUGAGGUUGGCCCGGAACGUGUCCAGGAACGGCCGCGCCUCCGGCACCGGCACCCUCUGCGCCGCCCUGCCCCCGCCGUCCACGCUCUUCCCAGCCGCCGCGCUGCCGCCCAUGGCCGCCGGCUGCACACGUGUGCGCUAGGCCGCUCGCUCCCUCGCUCGCUCUCUCUAACUGUGUGUGCUGUGUUGGGAAAUGGAUUUCACCACUUGCGCUUGCGCUUGCUCUUGCUCUGGAUGGUCUGCCCGUGCUGCGCUGGUGUAUAUAUACAGCGGCCGGGGGUCGGAUUUGGUGUCCGGUCCGGGCGGUGGGCUCGGUCGGGAUUAGCGUUCCGGGCAAACCUCGCCGUGCGGUGCGAUGCGACGGGCGCACGCGCCGCACGGGCCCCGCCUGACAGGGACCUACGUGCUCGCCUGACGUGGAGCGCGCGGUAG